CGUUUUUUCCCGGCCGUGACCGGGAAUUUUCUGUCUCCUCUCUCUCUCUCUCUCGAUCUCUAUCAUGGCGCGGUUCCUCUGUCGUACACUGCUCCGCCACGGUCGAACCGCUGCCGCCGCUUCCUUCUCCUCGGUCGACCCAAAGGUGAUUCGACCUUGCUUUUCUCUUCAACACCAUCGGCACCGAUCAUCCAAGGCUUCCAAACCCCAGCUCAUCCAGAUCGAGUUAGGCUCAUCUUCUUCGUCGUCAACCUCGUCUUCUUUGAAUGAUGGCGACUACGAGUUGGCUUUGAAGAGGUUCGAUGAGCUUAUUCAGCGUAUUCUGGUGAAGAAAGCCACACCCGAUUGGUUGCCCUUCGUCCCGGGCUCGUCGUUCUGGGUCCCGCCCCGAGCAUCGUCUCCCGGAAAUGUGGUGGACUUGGUUGAGAAAUUGACGAAUGAUCUAAGCGACGAGGAAUACAUGUCCAUUACCUCGCUUCGUGGUUGGCCCUGCUCCAAUUUCUUCAUCAAAGAAAAUGAAUCUGCUCAUAUGGAUGCUGAUGUGGAGUUAAGUGGGCCAGAAGAGAUGGGGGUGAGAGUACAGGUCAAGGUUUUAACAGUGCCAGGAAAUGUAGCUCUGUCAGAAGAUGAGGAAAGCUGACACAUAAUUUAAUUGAACCGGUUACUGUGGGUAAAAACUGUGGAUGCUGGUACCGGACUCUUAAUGUUUGUACAAGAGGACUUCUAACGCAUAUCAUCAAUGCAAAUGUCUCUGGAUGUUUCAAGUAUUAUUGUACUGUUCCAGAUGUUAAUGAUAAAGGAUUUUCUGGAUUGCAGCUUCAGCACAUCCAGGAUUGAACAACUUGCAUGGAAGGUCAAUGCAAGGACAAGGCAAAUGGGUUAUGGGGGUCCAUGCAAUUGCAGUACUGGUUGGUUUGUCUUGGGAAUACCCUUCUCACUCUACUUGGUCUCAAUGCCAUUUGUUUAUAUUUAGUUGUUGACCAGGUGGUCAAAUUGAGAAUCAUCAGUGUGUAUGUUGGGUAUUUGCGAGGAUAUGUUGAACUCUUCUCAUGUUCGAGGAAAUGUAUGUAUUUGUUCAUGGAAAUUGAUAAAAGCAUUUUCUUCUCUGUGCA